rnacentral:ncRNA from 1 species
GGAGAACUGCGAGGAGCCAGCCCUAGUACGAGAGGACUGGCUGGGUCAACCUGUGGUGUACCGGUUGUUAUGCCAAGAGCAGCGCCGGGCAGCUAAGUUGGUAUGGAAGAACUGCUGUGCCGUGGGAAAUCCUUCUCUAUACAAGUUCUCGUACGAGGUCUUUGAACAGAACUUCGAUAGGCGAGAGGUGUAAGCACCGCGAGGUGUGAAGCGAUCUCGUACUAAACGAAUGG